rnacentral:rRNA from 1 species
UACGGCCAUACCACCCUGAACGCGCCCGAUCUCGUCUGAUCUCGGAAGCUAAGCAGGGUCGGGCCUGGUUAGUACUUGGAUGGGAGAAACUAUAGUAAUCGAAAUAA